CGCGUUCAGCAUCUGCAGCUCCGGCCGGUGGCAACUGCAGUCCUGGCCAGCAUCGCCCCACACCCCAGCAGCUCCAGCUCCGGCAAUUGCCACCGCGACCUCGGCACCUCCAGCUCCGGCCAUCGCCGCCGCCCACCUAGGCAUCUGCAGCUCCGGCCGGCGUCGCCCCAUCACACUAGCCCCGGCCCCAAUGGUUGCGUGUCGACCAUGGUGUCCAGCGCGUGGCGUCAUCGUUCCAGAGCACGGCCGCGUUCGGCAAGGGUGAUUCGCUCGCGCCUAGCGUAAGGUCAAGCCACAUGGUCAUGGGAGUGCUGGGUUGAUCCUCGUCUGUCCUCGCUCGCGUGCAUCUAUGACCCCUAGACGAUAGAGAGACGACGAAGCUUUCCCCUAAUCUGCACCUGCAAUACGCUAGCUGUACAAAACCUUUGGUCCCUCUGAAAUCAUAGACCAAGGCAGCUGCUACUAUUCUCCUGAUUUAGCAUCUGAGUUGUUUACUCUUGGUGUAUUGGUUGUUGAAAGGAAACCUACCUGGAUUGCAAUUUCUAAGGUUAGUGCACAACAUAUUCUCUUGGAACA